rnacentral:rRNA from 1 species
GAUGAACGCUGGCGGCGUGCCUAAUACAUGCAAGUCGAGCGAACGGACGAGAAGCUUGCUUCUCUGAUGUUAGCGGCGGACGGGUGAGUAACACGUGGAUAACCUACCUAUAAGACUGGGAUAACUUCGGGAAACCGGAGCUAAUACCGGAUAAUAUUUUGAACCGCAUGGUUCAAAAGUGAAAGACGGUCCUGCUGUCACUUAUAGAUGGAUCCGCGCUGCAUUAGCUAGUUGGUAAGGUAACGGCUUACCAAGGCAACGAUGCAUAGCCGACCUGAGAGGGUGAUCGGCCACACUGGAACUGAGACACGGUCCAGACUCCUACGGGAGGCAGCAGUAGGGAAUCUUCCGCAAUGGGCGAAAGCCUGACGGAGCAACGCCGCGUGAGUGAUGAAGGUCUUCGGAUCGUAAAACUCUGUUAUUAGGGAAGAACAUAUGUGUAAGUAACUGUGCACAUCUUGACGGUACCUAAUCAGAAAGCCACGGCUAACUACGCG